GAUGAACGCUGGCGGCGUGCCUAACACAUGCAAGUCGAGCGAUUUACUUCGGUAAAGAGCGGCGGACGGGUGAGUAACGCGUGGGUAACCUGCCCUGUACACACGGAUAACAUACCGAAAGGUAUGCUAAUACGAGAUAAUAUGCUUUUAUCGCAUGGUAGAAGUAUCAAAGCUUUUGCGGUACAGGAUGGACCCGCGUCUGAUUAGCUAGUUGGUGAGGUAACGGCUCACCAAGGCGACGAUCAGUAGCCGACCUGAGAGGGUGAUCGGCCACAUUGGAACUGAGACACGGUCCAAACUCCUACGGGAGGCAGCAGUGGGGAAUAUUGCACAAUGGGCGAAAGCCUGAUGCAGCAACGCCGCGUGAGCGAUGAAGGCCUUCGGGUCGUAAAGCCCUGUCCUCAAGGAAGAUAAUGACGGUACUUGAGGAGGAAGCCCCGGCUAACUACGUG
rnacentral:rRNA from 1 species